AUUGAACGCUGGCGGCAGGCCUAACACAUGCAAGUCGAGCGGAGUGGCGAACGGGUGAGUAACACGUGGGUGACCUGCCCUGCACUUCGGGAUAAGCCUGGGAAACUGGGUCUAAUACCGGAUAGUGUGGGAUGGGCGCGCGGCCUAUCAGCUUGUUGGUGGGGUAAUGGCCUACCAAGGCGGCGACGGGUAGACGGCCUGGGAGGGUGGACGGCCACAUUGGUGCUGAGACACAGCCCAGACGCCUACGGGAGGUAGCAGUGGGGAAUAUUGCACAAGGGGCGGGAGACUGAUGCAGCGAGGCCGGGUGGGGGAUGACGGUCUUCGGGUUCUAAACUCCUUUCACCAUCGACGCGGUAGAUGGAGAAGAAGCCCCGGCUAACUACGUGCCAGCAGCCGCGGUAAUUC
rnacentral:rRNA from 1 species